rnacentral:rRNA from 1 species
GACCUGGCUGGGUGGUCUUGCCGCAAGGUUAGCACUGCCUCUGGUCGGGUCUUUCCUUCUGGGGAACCUGCGUGCCCUUAAUUGAGUGCGUAGGGGAUCCAGGACUUUUACUUUGAAAAAAUUAGAGUGUUUAAAGCAGGCGUUUGCUUGAAUACAUUAGCAUGGAAUAAUGGAAUAGGG